UACGUAGGUGGCAAGCGUUGUCCGGAUUUACUGGGCGUAAAGGGAGCGUAGGCGGAUAUUUAAGUCAGAUGUGAAAUACCCGAGCUUAACUUGGGUGCUGCAUUUGAAACUGGAUAUCUGGAGUGCAGGAGAGGAAAGUGGAAUUCCUAGUGUAGCGGUGAAAUGCGUAGAGAUUAGGAAGAACACCAGCGGCGAAGGCGACUUUCUGGACUGUAACUGACGCUGAGGCUCGAAAGCGUGGGGAGCAAACAGG
rnacentral:rRNA from 1 species